CGGUUGAUCCUGCCGGACCCCACUGCUAUCGGGAUAGGACUAAGACAUGCUAGUCGAGCGCCUCCCAAUGGAGGCGCGGCAAACAGGUCAGUAACACGUGGCCAAGCUGCCCUUGGGACGGGGAUACCCCCGGGAAACUGGGGGGAAUCCCCGAUAGGGAAAGAACUUGGGACUAAUUCUUUCCCCAAAAGGCGGUUGAGACAUGCUCUCAACCGCCGCCCAAGGAUGCGGCCGCGUCCGAUCAGGUUGUUGGUGAGCCAACGACUCACCAAGCCUUUAACCGGUGCGGGCCGUGGUAGCGGGAGCCCGGAGAUGGGCACUGAGACAAGGGCCCACGCCCUACCGGGCGCAGCAGUCGCGAAAACUUUGCAACACACGAAAGUGUGACAGGGCUAUCCCGAGUGCCGUCCGCUGAGGAUGGCUUUUACCCAGUUUAGCUAGCUGGAAGAAUAAGGAGAGGGCAAGUCUGGUGUCAGCCGCCGCGGUAAUACCAGCUCUCCGAGUGGUGUGGAUGUUUAUUGGGCUUAAAGCAUCCGUAGCCGGCCGAGUAAGUCCCCCGUUAAAUCCAGCGAAUUAAUCGUUGAACAGCGGGGGAUACUACUCGGCUAGGGGGCGAGAGAGGCCGACGGUAUUUUCGGGGUAGGGGUGAAAUCUUAUAAUCCCGGGAGGACCCCCAGUGGCGAAGGCUGUCGGCUAGCACGCGCCCGACGGUGAGGGAUGAAAGCUGGGGGAGCGAACCGGAUUAGAUACCCGGGUAGUCCCAGCUGUAAACGAUGCAGGCUAGGUGUUGGGGUGGCCACGGGCCACUCCAGUGCCGCAGGAAAGCCGUUAAGCCUGCCGCCUGGGGAGUACGGCCGCAAGGCUGAAACUUAAAGGAAUUGGCGGGGGAGCAC
rnacentral:rRNA from 1 species